UUAAGGGGCAGGACUUUCCUUGACCUCUGGGCUGGGUCACAGCCUGCUUCUCCCACCUUUACUAGCUCCCUAGUCUCAGCUCAGGCACCAGCCACCAGGAAAGCCCCUUCCAGGGGACUGGGAAAGUCACUUUCAGAGCCAAGCUUCCACUGGCCUGUGCGGACAGCCCGCCAGGCUGCAACUAGAGAACUCUGCUGAGGAGAAGCAGCAGAAUGUAACCUACAGGAUAUCGAUGUGUGUUGUCUUUGACACUGGUCUUCACCUCACACCUGGAGCAUCUGGGAGAAGAGGUCUGGAUGGAGAGGAAUCACAUUCUGCUUACUACUUCCAGGAAUGGAUUCCUUCCCACAAGAUUGGCAUGGAGAAAGCCAACUUUGGAGUCCAGAAAAGAACCUGGGUCCCAAGUUAAGUUGUGAAGAAUGGGGAGCCCAAGAUAAGGCAGCAGCAGAUUUGCCGCCUCCUACUUGCUCUCUUCUCAAGAUGAGGCCUUCCUUCUCUUUGAAUCCUUUUUUGUAAGGAUCCUAAUCCACAGCUUCAUUUCUUGUCAUCGUCAUCAUCAUCGUCAUCAUCAUCAUCAUCAUCAUCAUCAUCAUCUUAAUGUAUGAAUUCCAUGAAGACACAGACAUUCAGACCACAGCAGAUGGGAUUUCCAAAUUGGUGCUAUACCUGUGCUUUCAACAGGUCAUACGCCAGUUCUACUGAACACCUAUUCUAACUGAUGAUGCACGUUCCAGACCAAUGGUUUCCAAGGGAAGCCCCAUUAUUAGGACUUGUUAGAUAUAAAACAGUUCCUUGGUUAUAGGUAGUGCUUUGGAAAAAGCUUAGUGGUACAGGUUUAAAAAUGGUGGCUCUUGGCAGAUACAAUGUAGACGGAAAAAAAGAUAUGCUGGAAUAUCACUUACUUUGUUUGAAAAAUUCCAUUUAUUUAAUGUAAAUAGUAUCACUAGAAAACUGCUCAGAUUUUCCUAGGCACAGUAAAAAAAUCAGCGUAAGAAU